rnacentral:lncRNA from 1 species
UUUUUUUUCCUUAUCUAACUGCCAUGGUUAGGAUUUCCACUACUAUGUUGACUAAAAGUGGUCAGAGUGCACAUCCUUGUUUUGUUCCUAAUCUUAGAGGAAAAGCUUUUGGCUUUUUACCAUUGAGUAUGAUGUUAGUUUGGGUUUGUCAUAUAUAGUCUUUAUUAUGUUAAUGUAUAGUCUGCCUAUAGCCAGUUUGUUAAGUUUUCACAUGGAUGCUGAAUUUUGUCAAAUGUUUUUUUAUCCAUCUAUUGAGAUAACCAUAUGAUUCUAUCCUUCAUUUUUAAUGUGAUGUAUCACAUUGACUGAUUUGUGGAUAAUAAAACAUCCUUAUGUCCCUAAAAUAAAUCCCACUUAAUCAUGGUACAUAGUCCUUUUAAUAUAUUGUUGGAUUUGGUUAACUAAUGCUUUGUUGAGAAUUUUUACACUUAUGUUCAUCAAGAAUAUUGGCAUGUAAUUUUCUUUUCUGUGCAAUUUCCUUGUCUGGUUUUUGUAACCUAAAACAAAAGUUUCCCUCCUCUUAAGUUUUCUGGAAUAGUUUGAGAAGAACAGGUAUUAAAUCUGUGACUGUUUUACAAAAUUAAAGAAGACACUGUCUGGUCUGUAAUUUCUGUUUGUUGAAAGGCUUUUGUUUACUGUUUCAAUGUUCUUACUAGUAAUGAGUCUAUCCAGAGUUUCUAUUUCUUCAUGAUUCAGUCUUGAAAGAUUGUAUGUUUCUCUAGGAAUUUAACCAUUUCUUCUAUGUUGUCCAAUUCAUUGGCAUAUAAUUUCACAUAGUAGUCUCCUAUGAACGUUUGCCUUUCUGUGAUAUAAGCUGUAACUUCUCUUUCUGAUUUUGAGUCCCCUUUCUUUUCUCCUUAGUCAGUCUAGCUAAAGGUUUGCUGACUUUGUUUAUCAUUUCAAAGAACCAGCUCUUAGAUUCAUUGGUCUUUUCUUCCAUUUUUGUUUUUGGGUUGUUUUUUUUUUUUUAAUUUUAUGUUUCAUUUAUUCCUGCCCUGGUCUGUACUAUUUCCUUCCUUCUACUAAUUUGGGGCUGCAUUUGUUCUUCUGUUUCUAGUUUCUUUCAGUGUAAAGUUAGAUUGUUUGAGAUUUUUUUGUUUCUUGAAGUAGGCCUGUAUUGCUAUGGUCUUCUGUCCAUUUUUUAUUAGGUUUUUUUUUUUUUGAUAUAAAGCUCCAUGAGAUGUUUGUACAUUCUGGAAGUUAAUCCCUUGUCAGUCCCUUCAUUUGCAAAUAUUUUCUCCCAUUCUGUGGGGUUGUUUUUUCAUUUUUGUUUUUGUUUCUAUGCUCUCCUUUGCUAUGCAAAGCUUUUGAGUUUAAUUAGGUCCCACUUGUUUUAUUUUCAUUACUCUAGGAGAUGGAUCCAAAAGAUUACUGCUGUGAUUUAUGUCAAAAAGAGGGUUCUACCUAUAUUUUCCUCAAGAGUUUUAUAGCAUGUGACCUUUCAUUUAGGUCUUUAAUCCAUUUUGAGUUUAUUUUUAUGCAUGGUAUGAAAGAAUGUUCUAAUUUCAUUCUUUUGUUUGCUUUUUGUUUUUUCUUUUUACAGCUAUACCUGCAGCAUAUGGGAGUUCCCAGGCUAGGGGCUGAAUCAGAGCUGCAGCUGAAGUCUACGACACAGCCAUGGCUACACCAGAUCCAAGCCACAUCUGUGACCUAAGCUGAAGCUUAUGGCAACACCAGAUUCUUAACCCACUGAGUGAGGUCAGGGAUUGAACCCUCAACCUCAGANGAAUUUUUUUAAUUUUUUUUUUUUUUUUUUUUUUUUUUUUUUUUUUUGCUUUUUAGGGCUGCAGCAUGUGGAAAUUCCCAGGCUAGGGAUCAAAUCAAAGCUGCAGUUGCCAGCCUACACCGCAGCCACAGCAAUGCCAGAUCCGAGCUACAUCUGUGACCUGCACCAUAGCUCACAGCAAUGCCAGAACCUUAACCCACUGAGUGAGGCCAGGGAUCGAACUCUCAUCUAUAUAAUACUAGCCCAGAUUCGUUUCCUCUGUGCCACUAUGGGAACUUCCAAUUUCAUUCUUUUACAUACCACUGUCCAGUUUUCCCAGCACCACCCAUUGAAGAGGAUCUCUUUUCUCCACUGUAUAUUCUUGCCUCUGUUGUUGUACAUUAAUUGACCAUAAGUGGGUGGGUUUAUUUUUUGGCUUUCUAUCCUAUUUCACUGACCUAUAUAACCAUUUUUGUACCAGCACUAUACUGUUUUGUUUACUGUAGCUUUGAAGUAUAGUAUGAAGUUCUGAAGCCUGAUUCCUCCAGCUCUGUUUUUCUUUCUCAAGAUUGUUUUGGCUAUUUGGGGUCUUGUGUUUCCACACAAAUUUCAAAAUUUUUGUUCUAGUUCUGUGGAAAAUGGCAUUGGUAAUUUAACAGGGGUUGCACUGAAUUUGUAGAUUGCCUUGGGUAACUAUAGCCAUUUUGACAUUUGGCCUCUUUUGAUUGCAGAAUUUAGUCUAUUUGUAUUCAAAGUAAUUACUGAUAAGUACAUACUUCCUCCAUUUUUUUAAAUGUUUUCUGGCUGUAUUUGAAGUUCUUUUCUGUUCCUUUUUUCUUCUUUCUCUCUUCUCUUGUGCUUUGAUGAUUUUUCUCUAGGGCUAUGCUUUAUUUCUUUCUAUUUUCAUUAGUGUAUUUACUAUAAGAUUUUUCCCUGUGUUUACUGUGAUGUUCACAUAUAACAUCCUAUUUAAAUAGUAGUGUUAAAUUUGAAUGCAUUCCAAAGUUUUAUCUUUUUACUCCCCCCAACAUUUUAUAUAUCCAUUGAUAUAUUUUACAUCUUUUUAUUUUAUACAUCCCUUAACUACUUGUUGUAAUUUUAAUUAGUUUUACUACUUUUGUGUUUUAACCUUCACAUUUGUUUUAUAAGCAAUUGAUCCACUACCUUUAUUGUAUAGUUACCUUUUCCAGUGAUAUUUUCACUCUUAUUUUCUUAGCAUUAAUUAGUACCAUUUCUUUUCUUUGAACACUAGAGUCCCUUUAACAUUUCUUGUAGGGUCAGUCUGAUGGUGAUGAAUUCCUUUAGUUUUUACUUAUCUGAGAAACUCUUCAUCUCUCCUUCAAUUAUAAGUGAUAAUCUUGUUAGGUAUAGAAUUCUUGAUUACAAGCUUUUUCCUUUUAACACUUUGAAUAUGACA